GACGAACGCUGGCGGCGUGCUUAACACAUGCUAGUCGAACGGAAAGGCCCUGCUUUUGUGGGGUGCUCGAGUGGCGAACGGGUGAGUAACACGUGAGUAACCUGCCCUUGACUUUGGGAUAACUUCAGGAAACUGGGGCUAAUACCGGAUAGGAGCUCCUGCUGCAUGGUGGGGGUUGGAAAGUUUCGGCGGUUGGGGAUGGACUCGCGGCUUAUCAGCUUGUUGGUGGGGUAGUGGCUUACCAAGGCUUUGACGGGUAGCCGGCCUGAGAGGGUGACCGGCCACAUUGGGACUGAGAUACGGCCCAGACUCCUACGGGAGGCAGCAGUGGGGAAUAUUGCACAAUGGGCGGAAGCCUGAUGCAGCAACGCCGCGUGCGGGAUGACGGCCUUCGGGUUGUAAACCGCUUUCGCCUGUGACGAAGCGUGAGUGACGGUAAUGGGUAAAGAAGCACCGGCUAACUACGUGCCAGCAGCCGCGGUGAUACGUAGGGUGCGAGCGUUGUCCGGAUUUAUUGGGCGUAAAGGGCUCGUAGGUGGUUGAUCGCGUCGGAAGUGUAAUCUUGGGGCUUAACCCUGAGCGUGCUUUCGAUACGGGUUGACUUGAGGAAGGUAGGGGAGAAUGGAAUUCCUGGUGGAGCGGUGGAAUGCGCAGAUACCAGGAGGAACACCAGUGGCGAAGGCGGUUCUCUGGGCCUUUCCUGACGCUGAGGAGCGAAAGCGUGGGGAGCGAACAGGCUUAGAUACCCUGGUAGUCCACGCUGUAAACGGUGGGUACUAGGUGUGGGGUCCAUUCCACGGGUUCCGUGCCGUAGCUAACGCUUUAAGUACCCCGCCUGGGGAGUACGGCCGCAAGGCUAAAACUCAAAGGAAUUGACGGGGCCCCGCACAAGCGGCGGAGCAUGCGGAUUAAUUCGAUGCAACGCGUAGAACCUUACCUGGGUUUGACAUGGAUCGGGAGUGCUCAGAGAUGGGUGUGCCUCUUUUGGGGUCGGUUCACAGGUGGUGCAUGCCUGUCGUCAGCUCGUGUCGUGAGAUGUUGGGUUAAGUCCCGCAACGAGCGCAACCCUUGUUCACUGUUGCCAGCACGUUAUGGUGGGGACUCAGUGGAGACCGCCGGGGUCAACUCGGAGGAAGGUGGGGAUGACGUCAAGUCAUCAUGCCCCUUAUGUCCAGGGCUUCACGCAUGCUACAAUGGCUGGUACAGAGAGUGGCGAGCCUGUGAGGGUGAGCGAAUCUCGGAAAGCCGGUCUCAGUUCGGAUUGGGGUCCGCAACUCGACCUCAUGAAGUCGGAGUCGCUAGUAAUCGCAGAUCAGCAACGCUGCGGUGAAUACGUUCCCGGG
rnacentral:rRNA from 1 species